GGGAUCUAUAUUACAAUGCAGAAUUGAAAAAGAUUCCUGGCUAGCCAUUGUUGUUUCAGCUUUUUUAAGUCAGUAGUAGCAAAUUUAGACUACUGACUUAUACAUUUUCAGUGUUGGUUUUCUACAAUGACAAAUUGUCUUUUCCCCUUUGGGGCUCUUUCCGCACUGCUGAAAGACCCCAGGAUAACAGUGCCUAUCAAGGUUGGUGGAUCAGAAGCUCUAACUUCAGCAGCUCUCAGCGGUUCUCAUAAUCUCAGCUGAAACCUCACAUCCAGAGACAGGACCCCAGGUUCCAGAAGCAGACAGAGAGAUAAAUAGAAGAGCAGAAGAAUGGCAGAAUGGCUCGGCAGAGAAGGACAGAAGAAAAGGAGCAUCUGAAUGCUGAGAGAAGUUCCCCUGGGGACGAUCAGAGAGGAGAUCGGCCGCUGGACAGCCAACUCCAGGGGAAGAUCAUCCUCCCACUCUAUCCCCCUUCCAGCUCCCUAUCUAUCCCGCUAAGAGCCACCUCCACCACUCAAUAAAACCCCCACAUUCAUC
rnacentral:lncRNA from 1 species